UCAAAGGAAUUGACGGGGGCCCGCACAAGCGGCGGAGCAUGUGGAUUAAUUCGAUGCAACGCGAAGAACCUUACCUGGGGUUUGACAUGCACAGGAUUGCGGCAGAGAUGUCGUUUCCCUUGUGGCCUGUGUGCAGGUGGUGCAUGGCUGUCGUCAGCUCGUGUCGUGAGAUGUUGGGUUAAGUCCCGCAACGAGCGCAACCCUUGUUCCAUGUUGCCAGCGGGUUAUGCCGGGGACUCA
rnacentral:rRNA from 1 species